UACACGACCGUACCGCAAACCGACACUGGUGCGCGAGAUGAGUAUUCUAAGGCGCUUGAGAGAACUCAGGAGAAGGAACUCGGCAAAUUGACACCGUAACUUCGGAAGAAGGUGUGCCUUUAGUAGGUGAACCAUUUACUUGGGGAGCCCAAUGAGGCUGCAAAAAAAUCGGUGGCUGCAACUGUUUAUUAAAAACACAGCACUCUGCUAAGACGAAAGUCGACGUAUAGGGUGUGACGCCUGCCCGGUGCUGGAAGAUUAAAUGAUGGGGUGCAAGCUCUUGAUUGAAGUCCCAGUAAACGGCGGCCGUAACGAUAACGGUCCUAAGGUAGCGAAAUUCCUUGUCGGGUAAGUUCCGACCUGCACGAAUGGCGUAAUGAUGGCCACACUGUCUCCUCCUGAGACUCAGCGAAGUUGAAAUGUUUGUGAUGAUGCAAUCUCCCCGCGGAAAGACGGAAAGACCCCAUGAACCUUUACUGUAGCUUUGUAUUGGACUUUGAACAGAUCUGUGUAGGAUAGGUGGGAGGCUUUGAAGUGUGGUCGCUAGAUCGCAUGGAGCCAACGUUGAAAUACCACCCUGGUGUGUUUGAGGUUCUAACCUAGGUCCAUUAUCUGGAUCGGGGACAGUGCAUGGUAGGCAGUUUGACUGGGGCGGUCUCCUCCCAAAGUGUAACGGAGGAGUUCGAAGGUACGCUAGGUACGGUCGGACAUCGUGCUAAUAGUGCAAUGGCAUAAGCGUGCUUAACUGCGAGACUGACAAGUCGAGCAGAUGCGAAAGCAGGACAUAGUGAUCCGGUGGUUCUGUAUGGAAGGGCCAUCGCUCAACGGAUAAAAGGUACUCUGGGGAUAACAGGCUGAUACCGCCCAAGAGUUCAUAUCGACGGCGGUGUUUGGCACCUCGAUGUCGGCUCAUCUCAUCCUGGGGCUGUAGCCGGUCCCAAGGGUAUGGCUGUUCGCCAUUUAAAGAGGUACGUGAGCUGGGUUUAAAACGUCGUGAGACAGUUUGGUCCCUAUCUUCCGUGGGCGCUGCAGAUUUGAGGAAGCCUGCUCCUAGUACGAGAGGACCGGAGUGGACGAACCUCUGGUGUAUCGGUUGUCACGCCAGUGGCAUUGCCGAGUAGCUAAGUUCGGAAGAGAUAACCGCUGAAAGCAUCUAAGCGGGAAACUCGUUUCAAGAUUAGAUCUGCCGGGGCCUUGAGCCCCCUAAAGAGUCGUUCAAGACCAGGACGUUGAUAGGUCAGGUGUGGAAGC
rnacentral:rRNA from 1 species